UAAGUGAUCAGUCAGUAAUCAGGAGAGGAUUUAUUAAACAGCACAAAAGUCUUGAUAUUUCCACAUGUACACAAAAUCAUAAAUAUCCCCCAAAAACCAAAGUUACAACCUCCUUCCUUUAAACGGGAUCCAAGUCAUUAUCAUUUGAACGCGAUAAUUAGCCAGAUUAUAUAAGCCACAUAUUAAUAAACCAUUUACACUUGAACUGAUCAAUCUACAGUAUUAAGACACAAAGAUGUUAGACAGUCGCUCUGUAGAACCAAAAAAAACUUGUGGUUUUAUUAAUCCUGGUUAUUGGAGAUAUAAAAGAAACCUUACUGAUGUGUUAUUUACAUGUCUUCUAAAAACAUUUCUUUACACUAUACUGUGUGUGUGUGUGUGUGUGUGUGGGGGGGGGUUCAUUUGGCAAACUGAAAAUGUUUCAGUGUUGUCGGAUUAUUAACAUGCAAACUAAUUAUUGAUGAACUGUUGAAGUUGACCUAAAACAGUAUGAGCUCUUUUUAUUCCCUGCAUGAUACACUCUCAUCCUGUGUGUGUGUGUGUCUGUGUGUGUGUGUGUGUCUGUAUGAGCUGUGUAUGUGUGUUACUGUAUGAGUUGUGUGUCUGUGUGUGUGUGUGUGUUACUGUAUGAGCUGUGUGUAUGUGUGUGUUACUGUAUGAGCGGGGGGUGUGUGUCUUACUGUAUGAGCUGUGUGUGUGUGUUAUUGUAUGAACUGUGUGUAUGUGUGUUACUGUAUGAGCUCUGUGUGUGUGUGUGUUACUGUAUGAGCGGGGUGUGUGUGUUACUGUAUGAGCUGUGUGUAUGUGUGUUACUGUAUGAGUUGGGUGUGUGUGUGUGUGUUACUGUAUGAGUUGGGUGUGUGUGUUACUGUAUGAGCGGGGUGUGUGUGUGUGUCUGUAUGAGCUGUGUGUUACUGUAUGAGCUGUGUGUGUGUGUGUUACUGUAUGAGCUGGGGGUGUGUGUGUUACUGUAUGAGCUGUGUGUAUGUGUGUUACUGUAUGAGCUGUGUGUAUGUGUGUUACUGUAUGAGCUGUGUGUGUGUGUGUGUUACUGUAUGAGUUGGGUGUGUGUGUGUGUGUGUUACUGUAUGAGUUGGGUGUGUGUGUGUGUGUUACUGUAUGAGUUGGGUGUGUGUGUGUGUUACUGUAUGAGUUGGGUGUGUGUGUGUGUGUGUGUUACUGUAUGAGUUGGGUGUGUGUGUGUGUGUGUGUGUUACUGUAUGAGUUGGGGGUGUGUGUGUGUGUGUGUGUGUGUGUGUGUGUUACU